rnacentral:rRNA from 1 species
CUUCCGGAGCUAACGCGUUAAAUCGACCGCCUGGGGAGUACGGCCGCAAGGUUAAAACUCAAAUGAAUUGACGGGGGGCCCGCACAAGCGGUGGAGCAUGUGGUUAAUUCGAUGCAACGCGAAGAACCUUACCUGGUCUUGACAUCCACAGAACUUUCCAGAGAUGGAUUGGUGCCUUCGGGAACUGUGAGACAGGUGCUGCAUGGCUGUCGUCAGCUCGUGUUGUGAAAUGUUGGGUUAAGUCCCGCAACGAGCGCAACCCUUAUCCUUUGUUGCCAGCGGUUAGGCCGGGAACUCAAAGGAGACUGCCAGUGAUAAACUGGAGGAAGGUGGGGAUGACGUCAAGUCAUCAUGGCCCUUACGACCAGGGCUACACACGUGCUACAAUGGCGCAUACAAAGAGAAGCGACCUCGCGAGAGCAAGCGGACCUCAUAAAGUGCGUCGUAGUCCGGAUUGGAGUCUGCAACUCGACUCCAUGAAGUCGGAAUCGCUAGUAAUCGUAGAUCAGAAUGCUACGGUGAAUACGUUCCCGGGCCUUGUACACACCGCCCGUCACACCAUGGGAGUGGGUUGCAAAAGAAGUAG